AUGUCGGUCAGCAACAUAGGGAUGAUGGACGGCGCCUACUUCGUGGGGCGGAACGAGAUCCUCGCCUGGAUCAACACUACCCUGCAGCUCGGCCUCGCCAAGGUCGAGGAGGCGGCGUCGGGCGCGGUGGCGUGCCAGCUCAUGGACGCGGCGCACCCCGGGGCGGUGCCCAUGCACAAGGUCAACUUCGACGCCAAGAACGAGUACGACAUGAUCCAGAACUACAAGGUCCUGCAGGAUGUGUUCAACAAGCUGAAGAUCACCAAGCACAUUGAGGUUAAUAAGCUCAUCAAAGGAAGGCCCCUAGACAACCUGGAGUUCAUGCAGUGGAUGAAAAGAUACUGUGAUUCUGUUAAUGGUGGAUUCAUGACCAGCUACAAUGCUUCCGAGAGAAGAGAAAGCAGCAAGGGUGGGAAAGACACCAACAGAAGGACAUCAGGGACUUCCCAGGCGCCUGCCAAGUCUGCAUCCGCCACCCACAAAGCUCAGCCUCCGUCGCACGCAGCUAAGCGGGCCAACGGGCAUGCUUCAAAUGCUCCACAGCGGUGCGCAAAGCCGCCUCCAGCUUAUGAUGCACAGAUGACCGAGCUGAAACUCCUUGUUGAUAGCGCCGAGAAAGAGAGAGAUUUCUAUUUCUCUAAGCUGCGGGACGUUGAGAUCUUGUGCCAGAGCCCCGAGGUUGAGCAUUUACCGAUUGUGAAGGCUAUCCAGAAGAUACUCUAUGCUUCGGAGGACGACCCCUCGACGGUGGCGGAAGCCCAGGCAGAGAUGGUGGCGCAGCAGAACCAGAUGCAGCAGCAGCCAAUGCUGAGCCCCAUCCUGGAGGCGUCCGAGGCCCCAAGCAUCACCCCCAAGGAUUCUUCCGAGGAGAGCUUGAGGCAGGAAGCAGCGGCAGCACACAAGAGGAAGAGCAUCUCGGACCUGGAGGAGUUCGAGAUGGGGUCGAGCUCCAGGAUGAGGCUCUCAGACGUCUCGGACGUGCAGCUGUGCGGCUCACCGUUGAUGAGCUUCACCUGA
rnacentral:rRNA from 1 species